rnacentral:tRNA from 1 species
GCCGGUUUAGCUCAGAGAGGCGGAGCAGCUCAUUUGUAAAGAGAAGGACGUAGGUUCAAGUCCUACAACCGGCACCA